AACCUCCGCAAUGUGAGAAAUCGCGACGGGGGGAUCCCAAGUGCCAUUCUUAACGGGAUGGCUUUUCAUUAGUGUAAAGAGCUUUUGGAAUAAGGGCUGGGCAAGACCGGUGCCAGCCGCCGCGGUAACACCGGCAGCUCUAGUGGUAGCAGUUUUUAUUGGGCCUAAAGCGUCCGUAGCCGGUUUAAUAAGUCUCUGGUGAAAUCCUGUAGCUUAACUGUGGGAAUUGCUGGAGAUACUAUUAGACUUGAGACCGGGAGAGGUUAGAGGUACUCCCAGGGUAGAGGUGAAAUUCUGUAAUCCUGGGAGGACCGCCUGUUGCGAAGGCGUCUAACUGGAACGGUUCUGACGGUGAGGGACGAAAGUUGGGGGCGCGAACCGGAUUAGAUACCCGGGUAGUCCUAACUGUAAACGAUGCGGACUUGGUGUUGGGGUGGCUUUGAGCUGCUCCAGUGCCGAAGGGAAGCUGUUAAGUCCGCCGCCUGGGAAGUACGGUCGCAAGACUGAAACUUAAAGGAAUU
rnacentral:rRNA from 1 species